rnacentral:rRNA from 1 species
UUUAUUGGAGAGUUUGAUCCUGGCUCAGGACGAACGCUGGCGGCGUGCCUAAUACAUGCAAGUCGAGCGAGGGUUUUCGAACCCUAGCGGCGGACGGGUGAGUAACACGUAGGCAACCUGCCUCUCAGACCGGGAUAACAUAGGGAAACUUAUGCUAAUACCGGAUAGGUUUUUGGAUCGCAUGAUCUGAAAAGGAAAGAUGGCGUUUGCUAUCACUGGGAGAUGGGCCUGCGGCGCAUUAGCUAGUUGGUGGGGUAACGGCCUACCAAGGCGACGAUGCGUAGCCGACCUGAGAGGGUGACCGGCCACACUGGGACUGAGACACGGCCCAGACUCCUACGGGAGGCAGCAGUAGGGAAUUUUCCACAAUGGACGAAAGUCUGAUGGAGCAACGCCGCGUGAACGAUGAAGGUCUUCGG